CUAGAAGACAUGUACUUAGAUUCAAAGAGCAUUUAUAUAUUUAACUAAUCAAAGAAAAGCUUUGGCAUAAAAAUGGAUGAAAAUAGUGCUAGAAAAAUUACAGACUGGAAUAUAGAUUGCAUGAAAGAGGAUUUAAUGUAUUGCAGAACAGAAAUUAAAAUUGCAGAAUAAAUAUAAAUUUCUACCCAAAUAAACUCUCAAAAAUUAAAACUCAAAACAAAACCUAAAAUAAAACUAAAAAUAAGAACAACAUACUCUCAAACUCAAAA
rnacentral:lncRNA from 1 species